rnacentral:rRNA from 1 species
GUGCUGAAUUAUUCGCCAAUGCGCGAAAGCGUGACGGUGCGACGCCACGUGCGGGACGAAGGCCUUCGGGUUGUAAACCGCUGUCAAGGUAUAGAAAACCGUCGGAGUUAAUAGCUCCGGCGCUGAUCCUACCUAAAGGAAGCACAGGCUAACCUCGUGCCAGCAGCCGCGGUAAUACGAGGUGUGCGAGCGUUGUUCGGAAUCACUGGGCAUAAAGGGUGCGUAGGCGGUGCGCCAAGUCGGGUGUGAAAUCCCUUCGCUUAACGGAGGAACUGCAUUCGAUACUAGCGUGCUAGAGGGUAAAAGGGGCAAGCGGAAUUCUAGGUGUAGCGGUGGAAUGCGUAGAUAUCUGGGAGAACGCCGAGGGCGAAGGCAGCUUGCUGGGUUACUUCUGACGCUGAGGCACGAAAGCUAGGGGAGCAAACAGGAUUAGAAACCCCAGUAGUCC